GUAUAUAUUUAAACGAGGUGGACACGGUUAUCACUGCAAUUUUUCUGACAUGAACCUUGGAGAGCAGAGGGUUUAGGAAACUCCUGAAGCCACACUGUCAGCGGGACCCGGGCGGUCUGGCCUUAGACCCUGCUCUGUUUGCCCCUUGCCACUGCUGUCAGCAGACUCGGGUGGUCUGGCCUUAGAACUCACGCUGGUCGCCCCUCCCUGCCACGUUGUGGGGUUUUUCCUGCUUCUGCGCAGCAUUUGAUAGCUUGUGAAACAAGACCAAGACUUACUAGGAGUGGAUAUGCCAUUCUCUGAGAUCCAGAACGUUUCCUGGACCUGGCGUUGCCGAUGUCACGUAAGGGGAGAUAAAAACAUUUUCAUUGUGGUCAUUGGAGCUCCUGAAAUGGUGUUUUUCCCAGUGAAAAUUGACUCCUAAAAAUCUGUUAACUCAAUAUUAUGUGAACAGGAAGAAUUGUGUCGGGCUCUAGUGAAAUGUCUCAGAGCCACAGAAGUAAAUGAGGGCACCUUCCGAGCACAGCCUCCCGGAGGAGGCCAAGGACGUUUGCCUGGAGGAUGUGCCAUGAAGCAGGACUAGGGCAGGGCUGGUCUGCCUGGAGAGGCCUCUGCCAUGAUGUAGGCUAGUUGAAGUAGUUGAGGGGUGGUGGUGUGAAGUCGGUGGUCCCCGAGGAAGCCCCUAGCAAGGCCGGUUGCCGUGGGAUGGAAAACUGCCAUUCAGUGGCUGUAAUCCUGGCUUCUCGGGUCUGACAUAAAAUCCUACACUUGGAUACUUGGAUCCCAGCCAGGUCAGAUGGCCCUGAAAGGACAUUCGGACUGUGACAGCUGCACCCAUUCUCAGCAUCUGCAGGGUCUCCUAUGUAUGUGUGUGUUUCCAUUUUCUUUCAGUGCAAUUUCUCCCAGUGAAGUCGUGAGAAAUAGAAGGAAACGUGGAAUGAAGAUGUGAUUGAGGAAAGUGUGGUGUGGUCUUCGACCUUAUUUUGCCUUGGUUGGUGCUCAAGAACUCCACCUGACCUCAGAGCUGAGCGUUUCUGCCAGGAAGUCCUGCCGUUUAUCCUACCUCGAGGCCUGUUGAGACACUCCAAGAAGCUUCGUUAACAAAUUGCCUUUUCCUUUUACAGCAGUUGGAUUUAUUUGCAGCAAAACAAAGGAAUAACCCCCCAAUAUGGUGAUUAAAUGCAUUUAAGUAUAGAUAACAUUCAGUCUUUAAGGGCCUGGGAUUUUAAUCAUCUUUGGGUCAUGUAACUAGUGGUGUUGGUGAUUAAAAUCUCCUGACAGCUUUGUUCAGCCACGUUCCUCAGUUUUAAAUGAUGAUCUUCCUGGUGUUGUACCUUGGAGGGGCGUUGGUGUCAGUAGAGAGCAGAGUGGUGGUUCCCAGAGGCUGGGAAAGGACAGAGGUGAGGCCCCUGAAGGACGCUGGUCUUCCUAGUUUAGGGGUUUGGGGCUCAGCCACCUUCCUGUGUCCGUGUCAAUUAUGCCCAGGAUCAUUUUCACUCGCCCCACUUUAGUUGAGCAUUGGAGCUUCAGGAUGUGUGUGCCCACGUCACCUGGGCCGUGAUCCUGGGGUUCGGUGAGACUGAUUCCCGGGUUUACAGAAUUACUCUGGGAUUAUUGAAAACAGAAGCACUUGAGGCAUUCAGAAUGCUCUUUCCUGAAUAUAAUUUAUGUUCAGUUCUUCAGAAACAUUUAUUUGAGGAAGCAUCUAUAAUUUUUGUUUUCUGCCAUUCAGUGCUAGAAAGAAUUGUGCAACACUCAAGUGAGUGGCAUUAUUCCCCUCCCUCCACCAUGCAAGCAAGAUUAAAGGUCCCUCUGGCUCCCUUCAAUCUUCUCGUCUGCAGGGCGCCUGGCGUGGCAGUGUGCUGCCUUCCGUCUUCUUUCUGGGGAGAAUUAGUCGUCUUUGUGUGUGCCGUUCAGCUCAGCCUGGUGCGGUUGUGUGGGUGAGGAGCUUGGAUGCUAGGUGACCCUCCCAGGCCUGCCUCCCACCUCCCUAGGCCUUGUUCUAAACUGACAGAUAACCAGUGUGUUUUGGAAGAGGGCAGCAGCAGGGCAGGAGAGAGUUUGUUCAGACUUUCUCCUUGCACUGACGUUUGAGCUUCAUCCAGCCUGGGCCCUUCUACAGAGCUGCCUUUGUGUGUUGCAAACCAUUCCCUCCCAGUAACCGUGCUUUCAGAGGUUUGGAAAUUUGACUUAACUCGUCUUCAAUUUAAAGCGUACUAUUAAAUUUUAGUGUUGAAACUGAUGUAUUUUAUGGCCUUUAUUUGAUUUCUCUUGAUUUUUUUUCCCCAUAUGAGACAUGGCAUCUUAAGGGAGACAGCCUGGUGUUGGCCCCCUUUCCUAAGGAUGGAAGUGAAUUCUGAAAGCCGUUCAUGUAGGCAGCGAAAUAAUCAGGGAACCGUUAUUAUAGCUAUGCCUGUCCAUGUAAAGCGAGCACGACUCAUAAGCAGAAAAAAGUGCAGCCCGGGGGCAAGGUGAGCCCUAAUGCUGCCUGUGGAACGGAAGUGCAAGUGCAGGUGGUUGAGUUAACCUCAAAGCCCAGCCUGUGCCCCCCUCACAUCCCUCUGCAUCUACAGGGGCACAGGCCAUGCUGCCACCCCUCGCUCAGUGCCAGGGCUGAUGCGUCAGGAACAGGGGGUACUGUCCGCCCCUUGCUCGGUGCCAGGGAUGAUCUGUCAGGAUCCCUCGUGCUCAAAUGGUCCUCACAUCUUCAUCACCAGCCUCCUGCUGGUAACGGGCUUGUUAUUACCUUGGUAUGGGUAAUAACAUACCCAUACCAACGUAUGUAAUAACAUACCCAUACCAAGGUGUUGUGGGGCGGUGCUCAGUCCUCCGAGGGAAUCGGCCCUUAGCCGAUUCAUAUUCAACAGGACCGGGAAUGGGUUCUUGUUCCAUGCCCUGAAUCCCAAGAAGCCCUUGUCCUGGACCCUGUAAUGUCCGGGGUCUUCCUGAGAAAUGCUGGUGCCACUGGAGCACAGCCCGGCCCCCUCCAGUUUCUCCGCUGUGUAACUGCACUUGUGUUCAGCAGGUCUUCCAGGACUUAGACGCUGCUUGGUGUGAGCCAGGUUUUGUGUGGAAAGAGGACAGGUCCGAGCCGGCAACCAACCAGCCCAGGACCAUCUUUCAUGCUUCCAGAUUCUGUGUCCAAAAACUUACCCGUGGACAUUGAGGCUGAUGCAUUUCUGCUCCAAGACGUCUGUGGACUCAGCUGGAGGGAUGGAAAGGAUGUGGGGCCUCUUCACUCCUGGCCUGGGCUUGGACCUGCUGUGCAGCCUGUCAGUGGCACCAGGGCCCCCUUGUGUCACAGCGGUCUCGGGUUGGUGGCACUGCCCCAGGAUGUCCCAGGCUUCAUGAUGUCCAGGCUCCCCUGGCAUGGCGACCUCAGAUUUCUUUGCAUCUUCUCCCUUAUCCAGAAGUGAGGUGAACGCUGAGUUAUUCACGGGAGUCAAGAAACCACACGCAGCCCAAAGUGACGUUUGUUUCCCUGAAAUGAUUUGUGUGUGUUCACCUUAAAAUGCAACUCAGUGAAACAGGGUGCACGGCCGUGCCUCGUGGUGUAGCGGUUCCUGGGAUGCACAGCGCUCUUGUCUGCAGUAACGGCUUUGUCUCGACCCUUCGAGGCAAGUUACCUUUUUCCCCAGUGAAAAGAGGUAGAAAAUCUUACAGAAAUGCAUUUGCUCUAAUGUCUAUUUUCCAAUAAGACAUGGUCGCUUAGGCUAAAUCUUUGGGAGGUCAAGGCAGGAGGAUCACUUGAGGCCAAGGGGUUCAAGACCAGCCUGGACAACAUAGCAA